rnacentral:rRNA from 1 species
CGGGUGAGUAACACGUGGGUGACCUGCCCGCGAGUGGGGAAUAACGCGGCGAAAGUCGCGCUAAUACCGCAUACGCUCCCCUCUUCACGAGGGGAGGAAAGCACCUCGCGCUCGCGGAGGGGCCUGCGCCCGAUUAGCUGGUCGGUGGGGUAACGGCCUACCGAGGCGACGAUCGGUAGCUGGUCUGAGAGGAUGAUCAGCCACACUGGGACUGAGACACGGCCCAG